UACGGAGGGUGCAAGCGUUAUCCGGAAUCACUGGGUUUAAAGGGUACGUAGGCGGUUAAUUAAGUCAGUAGUGAAAGACUGUCGCUCAACGACGGAUGUGCUAUUGAUACUGGUUAACUUGAAUCAGGUUAGAGUUGGCGGAAUGGGUCAUGUAGCGGUGAAAUGCUUAGAUAUGCGGAGGAACACCGAUGGCGAAGGCAACCCCCUGGGCCUGUACUGACGCUCAUGCACGAAAGCGUGGGGAGCAAACAGG
rnacentral:rRNA from 1 species